GAACCAGACUCCUACGGGAGGCAGCAGUGAGGAAUAUUGGUCAAUGGGCGCGAGCCUGAACCAGCCAAGUCGCGUGAGGGAGGACGGCCCUACGGGUUGUAAACCUCUUUUGCCGGGGAGCAACGGGCGUCACGUGUGGCGCCACUGAGAGUACCCGGAGAAAAAGCAUCGGCUAACUCCGUGCCAGCAGCCGCGGUAAUACGGAGGAUGCGAGCGUUAUCCGGAUUUAUUGGGUUUAAAGGGUGCGUAGGCGGAACAUUAAGUCAGCGGUAAAAUCGAGGGGCUCAACCCCUUUAAGCCGUUGAAACUGGUGAUCUUGAGUGGGCGAGAAGUAUGCGGAAUGCGUGGUGUAGCGGUGAAAUGCAUAGAUAUCACGCAGAACUCCGAUUGCGAAGGCAGCAUACCGGCGCCCGACUGACGCUGAGGCACGAAAGCGUGGGGAUCGAACAGGAUUAGAUACCCGUGUAC
rnacentral:rRNA from 1 species